rnacentral:rRNA from 1 species
AGUGAACGCUGGCGGUAGGCCUAACACAUGCAAGUCGAACGGCAGCACAGUAAGCUCUUGCUCUUACUGUUGGCGAGUGGCGGACGGGUGAGGAAUACAUCGGAAUCUACUUUUUCGUGGGGGAUAACGUAGAGAAACUUACGCUAAUACCGCAUACUUCCUACGGGUGAAAUCAAGGGUUCUUCGGACCCUUCGCGACUGAAUUAGCCGAUGUCGGAUUAGCUAGUUGGCGAGGUAAAGGCCCACCAAGGCGACGAUCCGUAGCUGGUCUGAGAGGAUGAUCGGCCACACUGGAACUGAGACACGGUCCAGACUCCUACGGGAGGCAGCAGUGGGGAAUAUUGGACAAUGGGCGAAAGCCUGAUCCAGCAAUGCCGCGUGAGUGAAGAAGGUCUUCGGGUUGUAAAGCCCUUUUGUUGGGAAAGAACAGCAGCAGGUUAAUACCCGGCUGUUCUGACGGUACCCAAAGAAUAAGCACCGGCUAACUUCGUG